rnacentral:rRNA from 1 species
GGAGUUUGGGCCGUGUCUCAGCCCAAUGUGGCCGGUCAUCCUCUCAGAUCGGCUACUGAUCGUCGUCUUGGUGGGCCGUUACCCCGCCAACUAACUAAUCAGACGCGGGUCCAUCUCACACCACCGGAGUUUUUACCCCUGUACCAUGCGGUACUGUGGUCUUAUGCGGUAUUAACAGCCGUUUCCAACUGUUAUCCCCCUGUGUGAGGCAGGUUACCCACGCGUUACUCACCCGUCCGCCACUAAGUAUUGAAAAUCUAUCCGAAGACUUCAUUCUCAAUACUCCGUUCGACUUGCAUGUGUUAAGCACGCCGCCAGCGUUCAUC